AGUGAACGCUGGCGGUAGGCCUAACACAUGCAAGUCGAACGGCAGCACAGUAAGAGCUUGCUCUUACGGGUGGCGAGUGGCGGACGGGUGAGGAAUACAUCGGAAUCUACUUUUUCGUGGGGGAUAACGUGGGGAAACUUACGCUAAUACCGCAUACGACCUACGGGUGAAAGCAGAGGCUCUUCGGACCUUGCGCGAUUGAAUGGGCCGAUGUCGGAUUAGCUAGUUGGCGGGGUAAAGGCCCACCAAGGCGACGAUACGUAGGUGGUCUGAGAGGAUGAGCAGCCACACUGGAACUGAGACAGGGUCCAGACUCUUACGGGAGGCAGCAGUGGGGAAUAUUGGGCAAUGGGAGGAAGACUGAUCCAGCAAUACCGCGUGGGUGAAGAAGGCCUUCGGGUUGUAGAGACGUUUUGUUUGGAAAGAAAAGCAGCAGGUUAAUACCCCGUGGUUCUGACGGUACCCAAAGAAUAAGCACCGGCUAACUUCGUG
rnacentral:rRNA from 1 species